ensembl:snRNA U6 U6 spliceosomal RNA
GUGCUUCCUUUGGCUGACAUAUACCAAAAAUGCAAUGAUACAGAGAUUAGCAUGGUUCCUGCACAAAGACGAUGCGCAAACUUGUGAAAUGCUCCAUUUUUCU